rnacentral:rRNA from 1 species
AUCGAACGCUGGCGGCAGGCCUAACACAUGCAAGUCGAGCGAGCGGCGGACGGGUGAGUAAUGUAUGGGGACUGCCCGCUAGAGGGGGGUAACCACUGGAAACGGUUGCUAAUACCGCAUACUAUCGGAUAACCCAUAUGGGUUUAGCUAGUGGGUGAGGUAAUGGCUAACCUAGGCAACGAUCCCUAGCUGGUCUGAGAGGCUGAUCAGCCACACGGGAACUGAGACACGGCCCAGACUCCUACGGAGGCAGCAGUGGGGAAUAUUGCACAAUGGGGGAAAGCCUGAUGCAGCCAGGCCGCGUGUAUGAAGAAGGCCCUAGGGUUGUAAAGUACUUUCAGUCGGGAGGCGUUACCGACAGAGGAAGCACCGGCUAACUCCGUGCCAGCAGCCGCGGUAAUAC